rnacentral:rRNA from 1 species
AUUGAACGCUGGCGGCAGGCCUAACACAUGCAAGUCGAACGAGUGGCGGACGGGUGAGUAAUGUCUGGGAAACUGCCUGAUGGAGGGGGAUAACUACUGGAAACGGUAGCUAAUACCGCAUACCAUCGGAUGUGCCCAGAUGGGAGUAGCUAGUCGGUGGGGUAAAGGCUCACCUAGGCGACGAUCCCUAGCUGGUCUGAGAGGAUGACCAGCCACACUGGAACUGAGAGCCGGUCCAGACUCCUACGGGAGGCAGCAGUGGGGCAUAGUGCGCAAUGUGCGCAGACCUGUUGCAGCCAAGCCGCGUGUGUGAAGAAGGCCUUCGGGUUGUAGAGCACUUUCAGCGGCGAGGCGUUACCCGCAGAAGAAGCACCGGCUAACUCCGUGCCAGCAGCCGCGGUAAUAC